GAAAAGGUCGACGCAAAAAAU
rnacentral:piRNA from 1 species